UGUUGUACCUGCGGUGAUAGGCAGGAUUCCCUUUAAAUGCCUACUUCCGACUAGUAGCAGAGCGCCUUUCAAUUGUUUGGCAUGCAGAUGGUUGUUGGUCGCUGGGAGAACGAUUUUUGUUGAUUUUUAGACGUUUCUGUAUUUUAAGCUGAACGACUUGGUGCACGUGAGUGUUAAGUUUGCUAACAAUUGUUUAAUAGAAGAUACCUUGAGUUUCUCGUACUUGUUAUUUUGGGCUGGAUGAGGGUAAAUGCUGAACGAGCUGCACAAUAUAUUGCACGUGAGGGUUGACGAUCUAUGGAAGUGUGUGGGGAUUAUAGCCCUUCAACGGUGUAUAUGUGUGAUCAGCUAAAUGUUGUAAAGGUAUCUACAUUUUAACUUUUAUUGUGUCACCUGGAUAGCUAGCAUUUUAAUAUUGAUGGUAAUAAAU